GCAAGGUCCCUGGCAUUGCAGACAGGGCCUGAAAAGUCUGCCCUAGAGUGGGCUGGCUACUUCACUGAGCGUGCAUUUGCACUGCCAUCAUUUGAGGAAGGGACAGAGGGCACUCACCAGCUUCCUAGCCUCUCCAGCCACCAGCUCCUUGGCGACCCACCUGUUCUGUCCACCCACAUACCCUGGAGCUUCCAGCUUUUACUGUUGCUGGUUUGGAGAGAGGCAGUCAGAGCAGACAUGGCGGCAGCAAUCCAGGGGUAUUUCCAAUCAGGUGUAACAUCUGGACGUGACGGGGAAUGAAAACAGAUGAAACAGGAAGAUUUCCCUUCUCGGUGCUUCACAAUUAUGUCUGGAGCAGCCCUUCUCAGAGUUCUGUGGGAAGCUAACGUGUUAUUUGAAAAAAGAGUCUCAUAGGCAGGUAUGUUAGGGAAAUGUUGAGUUAAAUCAAGUUGAACAGGUCUGUCUUCUGGACUGUUGUUCAAUGGAUCCAAAUUCGGGAAACAUGUUGAAAGGUCAUUGAGCAAAAUCUUGAGUCGCUCUUAACUGCUCAGAAGAUUCUAGAAAUUACUCCCUGUCUUUUAAGAUAUUUGCUAAUUCUUAAGCAAAUUAAAGUUAUUUUUUUUUUAAAAAAAAUGCUUAGUUUCUUUUCUUUUCUUUUU